CGAAACCCACCCCUGCCAGCGCUAGAGUCGCGGCUCUGUUGAUGACUUCUGGGAAGUGUUGGAAACAGGGCCUUAAAAAAAGAAUGGCGUCCAUUUACAUAAUGCUUUGUUUGCAUUUUGCAAGUUUCUUUCGGUUGAACCUACAGAAAUCCCACAGUGUCGUUUUUGUCGUGGCAGUCUCGACAGGCAUUUAGGACAAUGGUGUGCUCCUUUUGGGACCGCAUUUAGUCAGGGUUGCUGACUAGUGCUUGGAGAAUCCUUGCGAUUUCCCCCCCACAGUCUUCACUUUCCCGCUUCUGCGUUUCGGCCUUUCCCCCGUUUCCCCUUUUGGUGCGAUUGCCUCGCCCCGCUCCCCUUGGGGGCGGCCCCUGUCGGGCCCCGCCAUCUUGGAAGGCCUUUCUUGCCGGUUCGCCACCGCACGUCCCUCUCGCCAAAGAAAGGUCGCUUGGGAGGCUCGUAUGAAUUCACUUAGGCCCAGAGAGAUGAAGUGACUAAUUCAAGGUCACACAGUGGAGGAUGGAUUCCAGACCUUCUGAUUUCCUUAUUGACCUGCAGUAUCUUGUGUAUACGUGAUUGAAUUCCACACCACCCAUUUUACAGAUGAAGCCACUGAGAUAUGGAACAAUUGACUAAAUAGUCACUGCCCCACCCCUGGAGCCUCACACAUGACUCUUCUCCUCCCAUUUGAAUGACUGCAGGUGAUCUCAACUUCUCUGACAGCUCCACUUAACCAUCUACACAUGGAUGAUGCCCAGAUCUUUCUAUGGACCACAGUAUCCAACUGCUCAUGUAGACAACAUCACAAGGAUGUUUUGCAUACUCGGCAAAAUGCAGCCUCCUGCUCUUCCCCACUUGCUCCUCAUCCAUUGUCCUCAUCACAUGUGAAAAGUGGUCUUGUCACUGUAAAUAUGGUGGUUGAGAAUGUGACUCUGAUAUGAUGUGAUGUGAUAUGGUAUAUGAUUCUGGAGCCAGCCUGCUGGGGCCUGAAUUCGGUCAUAACCACUUACUGUGUGACCUUGGUUCUCUAAGCACAUGCUAUUGGAUAAUCCUGCCUGGAUCAGUCCUUUCCUCACCUUGGACUUCACCUUCUUUUCCUCUUUAUUCUAUCUGCUAAAGUUGCCAGCCAGCCUCUUUCACCCCAGAGGGGGAUCCGGCUCCUGAAAUCCCAGCCUAUGCUAGUGCCUCAUGCUUCCUGGGGGCUUGCCAAGAAAGUCAAGGAGUCUUCGACAGAAGCAACUUAAAUCUUCAUGGCUUCCCCAGCUCCUCACAGUUGGGUUCAUGGAUGCCCUUCACCCACUUGCUUCAACUUCUACUCUAUCCAUGUUCCUACCUUAAGUGUAGAGCAUUUUGUUUUGGAUCAGACUUUUGGCUUCAUUCAGGCCUCUGGGGUCCUUCCAACACAUUUCCCAGAAGGCUAUUCUAGGAAUGGUCUCCACCCCUCACCUCCUGAAAUUUGACAGGGUCUGGACCUCUCUUCUUUGUGAAAUUAGUGCAACUCUGUGGAAGUGUCUGGAUAUAUCACACCCCUUCCUGCCUCCCCAACCACCACACCCAUACAGAAGAUCUAGUGAUGUAGCUAGGAUCUGCUGAUCACCAGGACUUUGUAGCCAGUGCCCCCAGCAGGGAGGGACUCCUGGAUAGGUUUACUAUACUGUGAACGACACCUAUGUCCACUACUCUCUGCCUCUCUUCCAUCUCACCUUUAUUUUGUCUUUUCCCUAAGAAGACAAAGAUCUGUCCAGUUGUCCUGCCUUGACCCCCUAGUCUUAUCUUGGACUAGAACUCUGCUGUCAGCCCCUCAACAGGGGCUGGGGCUUUUGCUUUCCAGCCUCUCUAAGGUCAGGUCACUUCUCU